rnacentral:lncRNA from 1 species
UUUUAUUUUUCAAACUAGACUAAAAAAUUAAAAAGUAAUAAUCUGUAUUAUUUAUUUAUAUACAAAUAUAAUUAUAUAUUUAAUUUAUAUAUAUAAAUAUAAUAUGUAUUAAAAAUUAUAUUAAUACAAAAUAAAUAUAAUCGAGCUGUUAUCGAGCCGAACACGAGCGAGCUGACCCUAGCUCGUGUUCAGCUCGUUUAUUAAACAAGCUGGAAAAUCCAGCUUGUGUUCGGCUUGUUUUAUAAACGAGCGAGUCGAUCUCGAGCUCAUUUCGAGCCGAACACGAGCUAGAUUGAAAGCCCUAAUUACUAGCUCCUCUCUCGCCCAUGGGUUGGUGCGGUGUCGGAGAGGGAUCUCGAUAUCGGAGAGGAAGAGAGAGUGGUGGUGUUGAGGGAGAGAGAGUAGGGAUUCCCGUGAGGGGAGAGGGAGGGUUUGAUCGUGAAGAGAUGGGGGGCGCGGGGCAGGGUGCGUGUGAGUGGGAAGG